UAAGCAAUAGGAUGCCAUGUUCUGUUUAUA
rnacentral:piRNA from 1 species